AAUCCUGCCGAUCUUGGCUUAUAUAAUAAGCUUCAGAGUCUUGGUAGAAAGAAAGCGAAGAGAAGGCUCUAAUGGCGAACUAGGGUUUCCAUUUGAUUCCGCAUUCCUCUCUUCUGAAGAUCUCGUUACCCAUUUUUCCAGCUUCAAUGAAGGUUGUUUCUUUCCGUUCCUCCGAUUUUACUUUGUUAUUUGCUUAUUUGAUAAUGUUCUUGAUUGAAAUUUUCUCCUGAGUGCUAUUUUCCUAGUAGUUUUGAUGAUUUUAACAUCUGUGCUUCUUGCUUGGUUUCUUUGAUGUUCUAGGUUAGGAUUUGGUGGAGUGUUGCUUUCUUGAUGAAUUGCCUGAUAAUUCUUGGUUUAUAUAUGUUAGAGUUGUGUUAUAGUUUAUAUUUGGUUAAUGGGCAUUAUUGGUUGAGAAAAACAAGACUCUUGAUAUUAUUUGUUAUUGUCUUCGUGAUUCUUGCUAGUUUUUUGCACCAGUUAGUUGAGUAUUAUGAUGUUUUCUUGGUAAUAUUGGAUUUGAUCAAUAAUUUUGAUGGGUUCAUCUAUUUUUAUUGAUUUGAGAAUCGAUAUCAGAUCGUUUUGGAUCAGGCGUUUGCUUUCUAGAGUUCUGCAGGAUUUCUUAUUCAUUGAGCAAACUCUUUCACAUCUUUUAGAUUUCACUAACACCAUACUUGAACCAUAAUUCAGGGAAAACAUUUUGGGAAGUUUGAUCAACAUGAAUUUUCUGCUGGUUUAUUGCAAGGAUUGUUUUGAUCAUAUUCAUGACUAUGAUAUUGAAGUUUUUGCAGCCAGUGUUCGCGCUGAAUUCAAGGCAUUUUACUUACGGCAGUCAUCUAUCAUUGCGGCAAUUGGUGAGGGCCGUGCAACUACCAUCCAUGCAACAACAGCAAAACAUUACUUUUGAUGGUUCAACAAUGAAAUGAGAGAUGUGGCAUGGAGGGCAUGGAGCUAACCAGAACGUUAUCCCACGUUCAGCAGCGCCAACAAGGCCGAAGCAGAGAGUGUAGUACUGGGCAGUGGGGAAGGCAGUAUUGGUGUAUCCUGCACCAAGUAAGUCAUUGUUGAAGUGCCACAGAUGAUCAUGACCUGGGGAAUAUCAGGUUGGAAGGUGAUGCAAAUCUUGGAAGGCAAGCUGGAGCUUCUAAAUCUGAGGAUUUCACCAUUAUUUGUUGCCUUGUAAAACUAUGCAAACAUAGAAAUAAUCAAGUUAUUUCAGGAUAGUAGUAUGAGGCAGAUUGUGGCCUUCUUGUCUUUGACUUCCCUAUAUAUAUAGGAAUGUUCUCUUGUAAAAGAUGUACUGAGAAAAAUUAUUUAAUAAAUAAAAAAAGGGAGGGAAGGAA